rnacentral:rRNA from 1 species
UACGAAGGGGGCUAGCGUUGCUCGGAAUCACUGGGCGUAAAGCGCACGUAGGCGGAUUGCUAAGUCAUGGGUGAAAUCCUGGAGCUCAACUCCAGAACUGCCUUUGAUACUGGCGAUCUCGAGUUCGGGAGAGGUGAGUGGAACUGCGAGUGUAGAGGUGAAAUUCGUAGAUAUUCGCAAGAACACCAGUGGCGAAGGCGGCUCACUGGCCCGAUACUGACGCUGAGGUGCGAAAGCGUGGGGAGCAAACAGG